rnacentral:rRNA from 1 species
UACAGAGGUCUCAACCGUUGUUCGGAUUCAUUGGGCGUAAAGGGUGCGUAGGCGGCGGGGUAAGUCAGGUGUGAAAUCUCGGGGCUCAACCCCGAAACUGCAUUUGAUACUGCCUUGCUCGAGUACUGGAGAGGAGACUGGAAUUUACGGUGUAGCAGUGAAAUGCGUAGAUAUCGUAAGGAAGACCAGUGGCGAAGGCGAGUCUCUGGACAGUUACUGACGCUGAGGCACGAAGGCCAGGGGAGCAAACGGG